UUUUCGUUUUCCUUUUUGUCAGUGUUUCCCUUACCUUGAUGAGAGAGAAGGGAUGUGGCCUCAACUGGAGGACCAAGUCAGCUGAGAGCCUAGCAGUAAUGCUAAGGGGGAGCUCUGACACCAGUUCUAAUUUUUAAUCUAUAAGAAGAAUGAAGCCCUGACAGGAAAUAUGCUGAAAAGCUACCGUAAUAAAUUUGACAUAAGAUGCAUGACGUGGAUGGAUAGAACAUUGUUCGCAAGGCCUGGCAAAUGAAACUGGGGCUUACAGGGAGGCAGAGACAUUGUUCUACAAGGCAUGCUUCAGAGCAGCAGAGCAUGAGCACUGACCUGGUAAGCUACCAUCUGCAAAGGACCAUGUCAGGAGGCUCCAUAGGUGAUGGAAACUGCUGUACUGAGCAGACUCCUUGAGUGUUACCUGAGUGGGUGAGAUACUACAUCAAAGUCUCACAGAGGACAGUCCAAAGAAUGCUGUAAGAGACACAUUUAAUUUUAUUCCUUCAUCCAUAAGAGCUCUAGUUAAAAAAUCAG
ensembl:lncRNA